GCCGCUUCUACGUUGAGCUGCAUAGCAAUUCUAGGUAGUGGCCACCACCACUACCCCAUCCCUGUCCGUGGACUCCGAUGAUGGGGUACUCUCCGCCAUGGCUGAGGAUUUUGCGGAUCGGGAAGAUGAAGAGGAAGAUGAGCUUGAGGACAGCACACAGCACACUGUUCUCCCCGACGGGCAGGAUCUUUUCAUCACCCUGACUGAAAUACCCUCCCAACCCAACCAAGCCGGAGAAGGGACCUCUGCAGCUGCAAAUGUUUCAAGCCUCCCUCCUCCAUCCCAAAAGGCUCUCUCAGAUAAGGUGGUGAAAAAAAUGCAUCCACAAUGAAAUGUUCUUUGAACUCAUGCAGUCGUUCGGCACUGACGGAGCUCAGCAGAACGUGUGGAGGGACACAAUAGCAGAGUAUAGGAAAGGAGCCAAUGAACGUGAAGAGAGGUGGUGACAGGAAGAUCAGAGGAGGCAUGAGGCAAUGCUGGGGCUACUGUGGGAUCAAACAGACAUGCUCCGGCAUCUGCUGGAGGUUCAUGAACAGCAGCAUCAUCACAGACUGCCGCUGCAGCCCCUGUUUAACCGCCCUCCCUCCUCCCCAAGUUCCAUAGCCUCCUCACCCAGAUGCCCAAGAACGCAGGGGGGGAAAACUCCAGGCACCCAAUCACUCCACCCCAGUGGAUAGGCCAAGCAACAGAAGGGUAUCAUUCAAGAAGUUCUGAAGUGGCCUUUUCCUUCCCUCCUCCCACACCCCACCCGGGCUAUCUCCCUAUUUUUAUAAUCAAUAAAGAAUACUUGUUUUUUAAAA